CAGAAAUGUAUUUCACUCUCAAAAGGUGAGGAAAAGGCUAAAAUAGCAGAGUCCUGAGCCACUGGUGGAGGAGGAUACCCAAAGAAGAUAGCAUGUGGUCCAGGGUGGGAGAAGAGACCCUGCUUGUGUAUGGGCGUGUAAAUAGGGAAGAGUCUAUGUAGCAAUCAUGGAAUUACAGAAUCGUAGGGGUUGGAAGGGAUCUUUGCAGAUCAUCAAGUCCAACCCAGCUGCUAAAGCAGGUUCCCUACAGUAGGAAACACAGGCAAACAUCCAGGCAGGUUCUGAAUGUCUCCAGAGGAGGGGCCUCUCUGGGCAGUCUGUUUCAGUGCUCUAUCACACCAAAGUAAAGAAGUUUUUCUUGAUUUUCACAUGGAACUUCCAGUAUUCCAGUAUGUGUCCUUGUCCUGUCACUGCACUUCAACAAAAAGAGCUUGGCUCCACCCACCUGAUUCCCAUCCUUUACAUGUUUAUAAAUGUUGAUAAGAUCCCCUCUCAGUCCUGGGUCUCCCAGCCUUUCCUCGUAUGAGAGAUGCUCUAGGCCCUUAAUUAUCUUUGUCACCCUCCACUAGAUUCCUUCUAGGAGAUUCCUGUCUUUUUUGACCUGGGGAAGCCAGAACUGCACACAGUAUUCCAGAUGUGGCCUCAUCAGGGCAGAGUAGAGGAGGAGGAGGAUCACCUCCCUCGACCUGCUGGCCACAAUCUCUGUAAUGCACCCUGGGGUACCACUGGCCUUCUUGGUCACAAGGGCACGCUGCUGGCUCAUGGCCAACCUGUUGAAGGUUACAUGAAGUAACAGGGAGCAGAAAGGUCAGGAGGUAAGACAAAAAGGAAAAGCUGAGAGCGCAGGUAGGCGUCUCCAGAAUAGCCUGCCUCAACUCUGUACUCAGAGCAGUCAGAAAAUCAGUCACCUACAAAAGUAUUUCUUUCCAAUGGCCUCAGGACACCACCAGCAGGGGAAGGGAAACUGCCAGAGGGAACAACACCUGCGGAGGGAUGCUGGUGUGUAUGCAGGGCAGGAUGCUGCCUGAAAACAACAAUUCCAUUAACUUGGAUUCCCAUCUCAAUUCCUUUGGAUUUCCAGUCACGCCCUGGAUCUGCAGACUGCCAUCAACACCUGCUCUCCUGCAGUGCCUGGUGCUCCAGAAACCCCAGGCUGCCCGUUGUGAGGCCAGGGAUGCGCAGCUUUCCCAGAGCCAGGCAUUUUACAUUGUUUGUAGUCUGCAUUUUGGAGUCAUUACUCAGUGGUACAAGAGUGCGUGCACGCGUGUUGGGGGGGGGGGGGGGGGGAAUAAUUGUGCCAUUAAUGAUUGCUAUUUUGAUUACAGGAUGCAAUUGUCACUGCGGUUGGAAGCCAAUCAACGCGUUGUGAGUGGGAGCCCGCUGGUACUUUCCAAUGGUCCUUGAUUAAAAAGGAAGCUCUUGGCUAUCUUCAAGCAGCAGGAGAGGAAACAGCACGGAGAAGAUACUCAGAUGCAGCGGAAUUCAAGCAUGAAACUAAACAGCUUCUCAGAUAUUAUCUAUUCAGCCAUCUGCUUGACAGACAAUGGAUAACCUUCCAGAUUCAUGGAGCUGCAUCUGCCUUUUAAUCCA
rnacentral:lncRNA from 1 species